rnacentral:rRNA from 1 species
CCAAGGAAGGCAGCAGGCGCGCAAAUUACCCACUCCCGGCACGGGGAGGUAGUGACGAAAAAUAACAAUACGGGACUCUUUUGAAACCCCGUAAUUGGAAUGAGUACACUCUAAAUCCUUUAACGAUGAACUAUUGGAGGUAAAGUCUGGUGCCAGCAUCCGCGGUAACUCCAGCUCCAAUAGCGUAUAUUAAAGUUGUUGCGGUUAAAAAGCUCGUAGUUGGAUCUCAGUUUGUUCGCGGGCGGUCCGGCGCGAGCCGGCCACUGCCCGCGGGCGACCGUCUCGCCGGUUUCCGCGGAUGAUCUUGACCGGUUGUCCGUGGUGACCGGCAAGUUUACUUUGAAAAAAUUAGAGUGCUCAAAGCAGGCUGCUUACCGCCUGAAUAAUGUUGCAUGGAAUAAUGGAAUAGGACCUCGGUUCUAUUUUGUUGGUUUUCUGGACACGAGGUAAUGAUUAAGAGGGACAGACGGGGGCAUUCGUAUUGCGACGCUAGAGGUGAAAUUCUUGGACCGCCGCACGACGAACUACUGCGAAAGCAUUUGCCAAGAAUGUUUCCAUUAAUCAAGAACGAAAGUCAGAGGUUCGAAGGCGAUCAGAUACCGCCCUAGUUCUGACCAUAAACGAUGCCAGCCAGCGAUCCGGCUGCGUUCCUCAAAUGACGCGCCGGGCAGCUUCCGGGAAACCAAAGCUUUUGGGUUCCGGGGGGAGUAUGGUUGCAAAGCUGAAACUUAAAGGAAUUGACGGAAGCGCACACAAGAAAUGGGGCCUGCGGCUUAAUUUGACUCAACACGGUGCAACUCACCCGGCCCGGACACAGGAAGGAUUGACAGAU